UUUCGGGUGAGUAAGUGUGGGUAAUCUAGCUUUCAGAGGGGGACAACCCGGGGAAACCUGGGCUAAAACCGCGUACGAUUUCUGGAUUUGCGGAUCUAGAAAUGAAAACAUUGCCUCUAUUUAUAAGCAAUGGCUGGAAGAUGAGCCCACAUCCUAUCACGCUUGUUGGUGGGGUAAAGGCCUACCAAGGCGACGACGGGUAGCCGGCCUGAGAGGGUGUCCGGCCACACUGGAACUGAGACACGGUCCAGACUCCUACGGGAGGCAGCAGUGGGGAAUUUUUCGCAAUGGGCGCAAGCCUGACGAAGCAACGCCGCGUAGAGGAUGAAGGCCCUCGCGGUCGUAAACUCUUGUCUAGCGGGACGAAACUUUUUCACGGAAAUACUGUGGAAGAUUGACUGUACCGCUGGAGGAAGCUCCGGCCAACUCCGCGCCAGCAGCCGCGGUAAUACGGAGGGAGCAAGCGUUACUCGGAAUUACUGGGCGUAAAGGGCGCGUAGGCGUCCAAUCAAGUCUUGUGUGAAGCCCCCGAGCUUAACUCGGGAAGUGCACAAGAUACUGUAUGGAUCGAGUUCCGGAAAGAAAAUGGAAUUCCCGGUGUACCGGUGAAAUGGGUAAAUUUCGGGAGAACACCAGUGGCGAAGG
rnacentral:rRNA from 1 species